GCCUGGGUGGCUCAGUCGGUUAAGCGUCUGACUUCGGCUCAGGUCAUGAUCUCGCAGAUUGUGGAUUCAAGCCCCGCGUCAGGCU
rnacentral:tRNA from 1 species